AAACUCACAUUUAUUCCUCACAUACGUGAUGCAAGCAAAUUCUCUUUCAGGCUCUAUAUAAACCCCUUUAUCUCCCUUCACCUCUUCACACAAACAUCUCAAGUUUCUUAUUUCUUCCUUUCAUAUAUAUUCAAAAUUUCAAAUCAAAUGAAACAGCUUUUGUGUUAAAUAUAGAGGAAACAUGGUUAUAAAUUGAUUGUCUCCUCAUAAGUCUUCUGAACCCUUUCAGAAAUGAAUUUAAGGGGAAGAACCACUCAACUACAUAUCAACACUUUCAUUUAUUUUGAGAAGGUUAAAGGCUAAGGGAGAUGACAGAAGAGAGUGAGCACACAUGGUAUUUUCUUGCACGAUGACGAUUCAUGCUUGAAGCUAUGUGUGCUUACUCUCUAUCUGUCAUCCCAUCACCAUCUCUCAAUCCUUUUCAUUUUCUAUUUAUAUACUUUUUUUUUGUAUUUAUUUUCUUGCUUUCCCUUUUGGUGCUUGGACUAACCCUAAGUAGCAGCUUGGGACCUCACUAUAAGCAAAAUAAUAUUCACAUCAAAUCGAUCUCAUACAUAUCACAGGUUUUGAAAAUCUUGCCGGUAUGCUAUGGAUACAUAUUGACCUGUGCGAUACAGAAUCAAUAUUGAUGUUCUAUUUUCUUUGUGCUUCUAAAGGGAAGCUCAGAAAGCACCUGAUGUUCUAUUUUCUUUGUGCUUUGAAGAGAUCCUCGUGGGAAAGAAAUGUGUACACUGAUGAGAUGACAUGGAUGCAUAAAUGUUUUCGUCUAUGUUUGUUGCAGUUGUUCAUAAUAAAUUAAUUGGCAUCAGAUUGAUACCAAUUGUGUAGGGGAUUUUGGGAUCACCGUCGGAUAUAUUGAGUACGUAUCUAACUACUCUGGAUCAAUUUGAGAACAAUAUUUAUCAUGUGAUA